UGUAACUAGCCUCUUGGAGCAGAGCCUUAAAUGGUAUAUCUCUUUUCGGAGAAGGGGUAAAAUGAGAAUUUGUCUAAAGAACACAUAAUAGUUUUGAAACUUUUUUUUUCACAGCUGUUCAUGAAAGGACAGCUGGUUAAUGCCUCACAGAAUAAUGUGAAGUCAAAGCUUACGAAGUCAAAUAAUGUGAAGUCAAAGCUUUUCAUCCCGUGGUCACUGAAACUGAAAGGUGGCCUUGGAGAAAGCUCAUGGAACUGUUUACAUCAGUAGUGGCCCACCAGUCAGCUCCCCAAGAAGACAGCCCAUGUUGAUCAUCACCGGAUCUUUUGGCACUGCCACCAUCCUCUGGUGGCAGUGCCACCUCGUCUUAACGAGGGGAAUAAGCGUGGAGAUGCAGAAUGCCUGUUUGCCUCUCUCUUGAUGAGGAGGCCCUGGGUGUCCAAGACACUGGCCUCAGUCUAACAUUUGGACGACCUUCUCAUCCCUUCCAGCAUUCACUUCUUGGGGUAAUAACAUCAGUGAAUAAGUGCCAGUUUCUGUUUCCAUAGCCCUUACGGUGUCCAUAUCAUUCACAGGAAAAGUCUUCAGUUAUGAAAUGGUUCAUCUCUGGUACAUGCUCCUGAGAAACACCAGGCUUCUUCUUUUUUUAAUUUAAUUAAUUUAUUUUUGGCUGUGCCCAUGUGGGAUCUUAGUUCCCUGACCAAGAACCGAACCUGUGCCCCCUGCACUGGAAGCCCAGAGUCUUAGCCACUGGACCACCAGAGAACCCCCUGUUAGACUUCUCUAAGAGCUCUGCCUGUGUCCCUUAAUGUGACUUCCAUAUCGCCUUACUCAGAGAGUUGGAAGGCUUGCAAAAUAAUAAGCCUAUUUUUAAGAGAGUCUUGAUUUCACUCUGUAUUUACAUGAAGUACAAAAAAUUAACAGUUCACAUCUCAUUUUCAUGAUUAAAUUCUACUCAUACUGCCUGGAGGGUCUUUGCUGAGUUAAUCUCCCCAUCUUGCAUUCUUUUCCUUGGAACUCAGAUCUGAAAGAGGUUUGCUGUCAGUGGGAGCUGCCUGGCUUGGGCUCUAAAAGUCUGAUAGGCAGUUGCAUCCAAGGGAUUAGAGAUCAUGAUACCUGAGCCUGUUCUUUGGCAGAGGGAAGCACAAAGGUAGGUUUUGACAAGUCAGAGCAUGUGUGGUCUCAGUGAUAGCAGCUCUCCUGCUGCGCUGGACUAGCCCAUGAGAGGCAUCCCCUGAAAAUUGUUUGGAAGAAUAGGUCUUAUAUUUUC
rnacentral:lncRNA from 1 species